UCAAGCCUGGGCAAUGGCGGGCGCCCCUCCCCCAGCCUGGCUGCCGCCUUGCAGUUUGAUCUCAGACUGCUGUGCUAGCAAUCAGGGAGACUCCGUGGGCGUAGGACCCUCCGAGCCAGGUGUUACCGUGAGAAAAUAUCUUGAACUUCUACUCUGUACUUCACCAUACAAGAAUUGAGCCUGGUGUUUUCUUUAAAUUAUUUUAUGAUUACUUAAAGCCAUUCUUUAUAAAUUUUGUGGAGACUUAUUAAAUGAAGAAACCACACAGCUUCCAACUCUGCAGUAGAUCUUGGGCUGUAACUGAUAUUCAACAUUACCAUCCUUGUUGUAAACUGAAUGUCAUAUCCCUCAAAAUUCAUAUGUUGAACCCCUAACUUCCCCUGUGAUGGCAUUUAGAGGACGAGCCUUUGGGGCAUAGUUAAGUUUAGAUAAGAUCAUAGAGGUGGGGGCCCCAUGGUGGAAUUGCUCUCCUUAUAAGAAGUGAAAGACCAAAGCUCUCACUCUCUCCCCACCAUGGGAGGACACAGCAAGAAGGCAGCUAUCUGAUAACCAGGAAGAGGGCCCUCACUAGGAACUGACUGCCAGCACCUCAACCUUGAUCUUUCCAUCCUCCAGAACUGUGAGAAAUAAAGUUUUGUUGUCUAACCCACCCACAGUAUUUUUUACAGAGGCCUGAGCUAAGAUACUUCUUAGUUACGCAUUUUCACCCUCUUCGCCCUUAAACAGCACCUCUGCUGGUCAGGUGGCCUAACUUUGGAAGACUCAGACCUUCAUCUGUGACAGUUCUAUAGUCACAGUCGCUAUGCCUUCUCAGGUCCUGGCUGCUGUAUUAUUACAUUGAUUCUCAAAGUUGUACAAGAGAAUAUCAAAAGACACCAAAGUGGAUUAAGAUUAGUUACUGUUAAAAAUAUUCCUCCUGCUUUACGUUCUACAAGAGCUCUACCUUUUUCCGAAGUUCAGAUCAAUUAUCCCUAUCAGGAUAGUGACUUCUCUUCAAGUCACUUGGGAAAAGUCCCCUGAAGUACACUGGAAGAAGCCAUAACUUAAGUUCAUUGAAAUUUUUGCAGUGUCCCAGAGUCGAUGUAUUCUACCUUUGUCGACCAGAACUUCUCCAUCAUACAGUCCAAACUUGUGGGUCUGGAAAGCACAAACUCUGUAAAUGAGAAACUGGUGAUGAUGUUAAGUAAGUUAUUUAUAUUUUAAGUCCCUGAUUUUAGACUCAUGUAUUUUACCUACUCGGAAAAAAUCAUAUUAUGGUUGUUGAUUUAGAAUACACAUCCUAAAAAGUGACAUCCCAUCUUUGUAUGGUCUCAUGUCUGAGCUAGGCAUCCCACUGAAAUCUUUAACUUAACAUGCCAUUGUUCCACUACGCACCACCCAGCAGCUAAUUGGUCUCCACGCAGAAUGGUGCUAUUAGGGGGACUCAGUGAUUGUCUUGUAUGUAUGGACAUCAUGCAGUAACAGGAGAUAAAUUUGUGUUGGAGACAGGGAACCCAUGCUACUGAAUUUAUGCAUAGUCUUCCUUACAUCACCAUGGUUACCAUGUCUACAUGCACCUCAUGCUCACACUUGGGUUGCGUGAUGGUUAAUAUUGAGUGUCAACUUGAUUGGAUUGAAGGAUGCAAAGCAUCGUUCCUAGGUGUGUCUGUGAGGGUAUUGCCAAAGGAGAUUAACAUUUGAGUCCGUGGACUGAGAAAGCCAGAUCCACAAUCAAUCCGGGUGGGGACAAUCUAAUCAGCUGCCAGCAUGGCCAGAAUAAAAGCAGACAGAAACACGUGGAAAGACCAGACUGGCUAAGCCUUCUGGCCUCCAUCUUUCUUCCAUGCUGGAUGCUUUCUGCCCUUGAACAUCAGACUCCAAGUUCUUCAGCUUUUGGAUUCUUGGACUCACACCAGUGAUUUGCCAGGGGCUCUUGGGCCUUCCACCACAGACUGAAGGCUGCACUAUCAGCUUCCCUACUUUUGAGGUUUUGGGACUCGGACUGGCUUCCUGGCUCCUCAGCUUGAAGACAACCAAUGGUGGGACUUCACCUUGUGAUCCUGUGAGUCAUUUCUCCUAAUAAAUUCCCCUUCAUAUAGACACUAUCCUAUUAGUUCUGUCCAUCUAGAGAACCCCGACAAACAUGGGUUGCUAUCAACUGGACAAAUCAUUGCCAACUAAGUUUUUUAGUGCUUCAGCACUUCUACCAUAGUUAGUGUGCACUAAUGAAUGCAAACAUUUGUAUUACCUAAUACAUGGUCUGGUACAGCAUCCUCAGAUGUGAACUAUGCUGCCUCCUGUAUCCAAAAAGGACUACCAAAUGUUGUACUUCCAUCUUAUUGCAGUGCAGUAAGAAAUAUUUUGUCCUUUAUUUUGUAGAUGUCCCAUCAUGCCCUCAACCACAAAACACCUAAAUUUUACGGUUAUAAUCGCUGUCAGUGGUUGUACGUUGAUAUUCUAUUGUUCCAGCACCAUUCUUUUCCUAUUAAAUUACACUGGCAAAUUUGAUUAAAAAAAACAACUGACUAUAUAUGCUUGUAAACAUUUCCAGAUUAUGUUAUUCUUUUAAUCUAAAUAUGUGUCCUUAUGCCAAUACCCCACUCCAUCUAUUACUGCAGUGUAUGAUAAGUCUUGAAAUCUAGUAGUGUAAGUUCUUCAACGUUGCCCUUAAUUUUUAAAAUCACUCUUGCUAUUUAAAAUUGUUUGUAUUACAUGGAAAUUUUAUAAUCAGCUUGCCAAUUUCUACAAAAGUCCUGCUGAGAUUUUAAUUGGUAUUUUGCUUGUUCUGCAGCUUAAUGCAAGAAAAUUAUCUUAACAAUAUUGAAUUUUUCAAUCUAUUAACAUGUUAUAUAUUACUGUUUACUUAGGAUUUUUUCACUUUUCCUGCCUUGUUUUGAACUGAUAUUGUGGUUUUAAGUAAUUUUUUUUAUUUCUACUAUUGGCUUAGUAACUAUGCCCCACUUUUUGAUUUUGUAGCACAGUUGACCAUUGAACAACACAAGUUUGAAUUGUGCAUGUCCAAUUGUCUAUGGAUAUUUUUCAAUAAAAGUUACACUGAGUGCAUCAGCCUCUCUCCUUCUUCUCCUUCUACCUCCUCCAACUGUUCCACCUCUGCCACCCCAAAACAGCAAGAACAACCCCUCCCUUCCUCCUCCUCCUCCUCAGCCUACUCAAGGUGAAGCUGAUAAGAUCUCAUCAGAUGAAGGAUAAAUAAACGUGUCUCUCAAAGCCAUCUUUAUUCGAAGAAGUUUCCUUCGCACUACAAAUCUAAAGUUCUUUCUACGAACAUCUUGUAUGAAUUGAUACCUGAUUAAGCGCAUCUAACUACGUAUUUGUAUAUGUGUCUCAUUGCCUCAUAAAAAUCCAGAAGUCUUUAAAUGUGAUUCAAAACCAACAAAAAAUCAAAUAAACAUUUAAAUAAAUUAGUGAGAAAAUGUGAUGUAGCAAGUAAUAAAGAGUAAAAUGUGAACUGCCUAUCUAAAACAGGAUAAAACUGAAAAUGUAUUUAAGAAAAUAAUAUUUUAACAGCUUUUAAGGGAUAGAAAUUUUCUGCUAACUAGAGAUACUUAUAAAUUUAUUUAUUUGUACUCCUAUGAUCCAUAAAACUGAAAUCUGCAUUCCUUAAGCUAAAAAGAGACAAUAGGGCAUUAAAAUGCUA
rnacentral:lncRNA from 10 species